rnacentral:rRNA from 1 species
GAGUUUGAACCUGGCUCAGGACGAACGCUGGCGGCGUGCCUAAUACAUGCAAGUCGAGCGAGCUUGCCUAGAUGAUUUUAGUGCUUGCACUAAAUGAAACUAGAUACAAGCGAGCGGCGGACGGGUGAGUAACACGUGGGUAACCUGCCCAAGAGACUGGGAUAACACCUGGAAACAGAUGCUAAUACCGGAUAACAACACUAGACGCAUGUCUAGAGUUUGAAAGAUGGUUCUGCUAUCACUCUUGGAUGGACCUGCGGUGCAUUAGCUAGUUGGUAAGGUAACGGCUUACCAAGGCAAUGAUGCAUAGCCGAGUUGAGAGACUGAUCGGCCACAUUGGGACUGAGACACGGCCCAAACUCCUACGGGAGGCAGCAGUAGGGAAUCUUCCACAAUGGACGAAAGUCUGAUGGAGCAACGCCGCGUGAGUGAAGAAGGGUUUCGGCUCGUAAAGCUCUGUUGGCAGUGA